rnacentral:rRNA from 1 species
GACGAACGCUGGCGGCGUGCCUAACACAUGCAAGUCGAACGGAAAGGUCCUGCUCUUGUGCGUUUCUCGAUUGGCGAACGGGGGAGAAAAACGUGUGUAAACUGCCCUUGACAUUGGGAGAACUUCUGGAAACUGGGGCUAAUACCCCAGAGGAGCUCCUGCUGCAUGGUGGGGGUUGGUAAGUUUCGGCGUUUGGGGCUGGACUCGCGGCUUAUCAGCUGGUUUGUGGGGUAGUUGCUUACCAAGGCUUUGACGGGUAGCCGGCCUGAGAGGGUGACCGGCCACCUUGGGACUGAGAUACGGCCCAGACUCCUACGGGAGGCAGCAGUGGGGAAUAUUGCACAAUGGGCGGAAGCCUGAUGCAGCAACGCCGCGUGCGGGAUGACGGCCUUCGGGUUGUAAACCGCUUUCGCCUGUGACGAAGCGUGAGUGACGGUAAUGGGUAAAGAAGCACCGGCUAACUACGUG